rnacentral:rRNA from 1 species
AUGGCAAGACAUGUGUUCAAUCGUAUCCGAGAGGGAGUGGUUUCUCAUGACCCAUACUUUGAGUGCAAGACAGAUGCCCUUAGCAAGCUUGGAUUCUUCUCUUACCAGAAAUGCACCGCGGCCAUCCGCAUGCUUGCAUAUGGAAUUCCAGGCGAUCUGGUGGAUGAGUAUGUGCGUAUGAGUGAGACAACAUGUCUGAUGUCAAUGUACAAGUUCUGCCAGGCUGUGAUCGAGGUGUUUGGCCCGGAGUACUUGAGGCAGCCAACUGCCGCUGAUACAGAGAGAUUGUUGGCGACCAACGCAGCUAGAGGCUUUUCAGGCAUGCUUGGCAGCAUAGAUUGCAUGCACUAG